rnacentral:rRNA from 1 species
AUGCAGCACCUGUAUCUAGAUUCCCAGGGCCCCAACGGCUAGUAGACAUCGUUUUACGGCAUGGACUACCCAAGGGUAUCUAAUAACGCUGGCGGCAGGCUUAACACAUGCAAGUCGAGCGGGGGAAGGUAGCUUGCUCACCGGACCUAGCGGCGGACGGGUGAGUAAUGCUUAGGAAUCUGCCUAUUAGUGGGGGACAACAUCGUCGAAAGGGAUGCUAAUACCGCAUACGUCCUACGGGAGAAAGCAGGGGAUCUUCGGACCUUGCGCUUAAUAGAUGAGCCUAAGUCGGAUUAGCUAGUUGGUGGGGUAAAGGCCUACCAAGGCGACGAUCUGUUAGCGGGUCUGAGAGGAUGAUCCGCCACACUGGGACUGAGACACGGCCCAGACUCCUACGGGAGGACAGCAGUGGGGAAUAUUGGACAAUGGGGGGAACCCUGAUCCAGCCAUGCCGCGUGUGUGAAGAAGGCCUUAUGGUUGUAAAGCACUUUAAGCGAGGAGGAGGCUACUUUAGUUAAUACCUAGAGAUAGUGAGACGUUACUCGCAGAAUAAGCACCGGCUAACUCUGUGCCAGCAGCCGCGGUAAUACAGAGGGUGAGCCGAGCGUUAAUCGGAUUUACUGGUAGCGUAAAGCGUGCGUAGGCGGCUUAUUAAGUCGGAUGCCUGAAAUCCCCGAGCUUAACUUGGGAAUUGCAUUCGAUACUGGUGAGCUAGAGUAUGGGAGAGGAUGGGUAGAAUUCCAGGUGUAGCGGUGAAAUGCGUAGAGAUCUGGAGGAAUACCGAUGGCGAAGGCAGCCCAUCUGGCCUAAUACUGACGUUACUGAGGUACGAAAGCAUGGGGAGCAAACAGGAUUAGAUACUUCCUGGUAGUCCAUGCCGUAAACGAUGUCUACUAGCCGUUGGGGCCUUUGAGGCUUUAGUGGCGCAAGCUAACGCGAUAAGUAGACCGCCUGGGGAGUACGGUCGCAAGACUAAAACUCAAAUGAAUUGACGCGGGGCCCGCACAAGCGGUGGAGCAUGUGGUUUAAUUCGAUGCAACGCGAAGAACCUUACCUGGCCUUUGACAUACUAGAAACUUUCAGAGAUAGGAUUGAGUGCCUUCGGGAAUCUAAGAUACAGGUGCUGGCAUGGCUGUCGUCAGCUCGUGUCGUGAGAUGUUGGGUUAAGUCCCGCAACGAAGCGCAACCCUUAGUUCCUUACUUGCCAGCAUUUCGGAUGGGAACUUUAAGGAUACUGCCAGUGACAAACUGGAGGAAGCGCGGGGACGACGUCAAGUCAUCAUGGCCCUUACGGCCAGGGCUACACACGUGCUUACAAUGGUCGCGUACAAAGGGUUGCUACACAGCGAUGUGAUGCUAAUCUCAAAAAGCCGAUCGUAGCUCCGGAUUGGAGUCUGCAACUCGACUCCAUGAAGUCGGAAUCGCUAGUAAUCGCGGGAUCAGAAUGCCGCGGUGAAUACGUUCCCGGGCCUUGUACACACCGCCCGUCACACCAUGGGAGGGUUUGUUGCACCGAAGUAGCUAGCCUAACUGCAAAGAGGGCGGUAUACCACGGUGUGGCCGAUGACUGGGGUGAAGU